rnacentral:rRNA from 1 species
AACGAACGCUGGCGGCGUGUUUAAGACAUGCAAGUCGCACGGUGUCAUUUUGGUAGCAAUACUUGGAUGGCACAGUGGCGCACGGGUGAGUAACACGUGAAUGACAUGCCCUUCAGAGGGGGAUAGCCCAGGGAAACUUGGAUUAAUACCACAUGGUCUCGCAAGAGUAAAGGUUGCCGACAGGCUGUCGCUGGAGGAUUGGUUCGCGUUCUAUUAGCUUGUUGGCGGGGUAACGGCCCACCAAGGCUACGACGGAUACCUGGUCUGAGAGGACGAUCAGGCACACUGGAACUGAGACACGGUCCAGACACCUACGGGUGGCAGCAGUCGAGAAUAAUUCACAAUGGGGGCAACCCUGAUGGUGCAACGCCGCGUGGAGGAUGAAGGUCUUCGGGUUGUAAACUCCUGUCAUCCGGGAGCAAGACCUGACGGUGAAUAGCCGGCAGGGUUGAUAGUACCGGAAGAGGAAGGGACGGCUAACUUCGUGCCAGCAGCCGCAGUAAAAC